GGAAACGUUUCGUCACCGGUGUGGCGCCCAGUCUUCAAAACUGGUGUACGGUCGAGAGGUCGUAGGUAGGUUCGACUCCUAUACGUUUCCGCCA
rnacentral:tRNA from 1 species